GCUGCGGUGGCCAAGUGGUACGGCAUUGAGCUUUUACACUCAUCACUUUCUUGACUCAUUCACCUAGGGUGAGGAGAGGGGGUGGUGGUGGUUGAGAGGUACUCAAGGAUCGCGGGUUCGAUCCCCGUCCGCAGCG